rnacentral:rRNA from 1 species
UACGUAGGGGGCUAGCGUUGUCCGGAUUUAUUGGGCGUAAAGAGCGUGUAGGCGGCCAUGUAGGUCCGGUGUGAAAACUCGAGGCUUAACCUCGAGAUGUCAUCGGAAACCAUUUGGCUAGAGUCCGGAAGAGGAGAGUGGAAUUCCCGGUGUAGCGGUGAAAUGCGCAGAUAUCGGGAGGAACACCUAUGGCGAAGGCAGCUCGCUGGGACGUUACUGACGCUGAGACGCGAAAGCGUGGGGAGCAAACAGG